GCCAAAGUCAAGGCCUACUCACGUCAAGAUCAAGCAACUCAACGUCAAGACCAACCCAAAGUCAAAACCAACUCAAGGUCAAGAUGAACCCAAAGUCAAGACUGACCCAAAGUCGAGACCAAUCCAAGGCCAACCAAACAUCAAGACCAAUCAAUGGCCAAAGUCAACCCAAAGUCAAGACCAACUCAUGGUGAAGACCAACCCAAGGUCAACUCAAAGUCAAGACCAAGUCAUGGCCAAAGUCAAGGCCUACUCAUGUCAAGAUCAAGCAACUCAACAUCAAGACCAACCCAAAGUCAAAACCAACCCAAGGUCAAGAUGAACCCAAAGUCAAGACCGACCCAAUGUCGAGACCAAUCCAAGGCCAACCCAACAUCAAGACCAACCCAAGGUCAAGACCAACCAAUGGCCAAAGUCAACCCAAAGUCAAGACCAACUCACGGUCAAGACCAACCCAAGGUCAACCCAAAGUCAAGACCAACUCAAGUCAAGAUCAAGCAAGUCAACAUCAAGACCAAACCAAGGUCAAGACCAUCCAAUGACCAAAGUCAAGACCAACCAAUGGCCAAGACCAACCCAAGGUCAACCCAAAGUCAAGACCAACCCAUGGCCAAAGUCAAGGCCUACUCAUGUCAAGAUCAAGCAACUCAACAUCAAGACCAACCCAAGGUCAAAACCAACCCAAGGUCAAGACCAACCAAUGGCCAAAGUCAAGACCAACUCACGGUGAAGACCAACCCAAGGUCAACUCAAAGUCAAGACCAGCCCAUGGCCAAAGUCA